GCACCAAGAAGUUUUUUAAAUGUUAAUUCAAGUUAAUUAGUUUUAAUAACUUUGGCUUCGUUGUGUGAGCCUGGGUGUUUAUGUGUGUGCAACAUUUCCAGACAUCAGUAUGUGAAAGACCUCACAGUGGCCUGUAAUUGUUUCAGCUCUGUUUUUCACCGCAGGGGAGAGCCAGUCAAAAGAGUGGCAGCCUGUGCCCUUUCCUCUCACGGGUCCCUUUCAAGUGGGCAGACCUUAAGCCAAGCUGCCCUUCAAACUGAUGCCUGCUACAGGCAGUAUGUGGUACACUUUUGUAAACUCAAAGUAGAGAGAGGAUCACUCGCAUGAUCCCAAGUCAUCCGGCGCUAACAAGAAAGACACCUACAGACACACCACUGGAGGUGAACAGCAUGAUACAAAUCUCCCUGAAGACAUCUCGCUCCCAGAAUCCUAAGUGCCUGAGGCAGUGGCCCAUGAUGCACGGCUCUAUAUCCUGGAGCUGGAGCAAGUAAAGGUCAGUGCUGGAUAUUUGUGAAAACCAGGGGAGCUGCUGAUCUCUGAACAGUUAUUGUAUUCAUACAGUAGCAUAUGUGUACCAUCUAGAACUGUGGCCUAACACUGACAUUCAGAACUGAAAGGAGGAAAGACUAAAAGCAGGCUAAAAAGGCAUAGCUCAACACAGGCCUGGCACUCUCAUUAGCAAUAUUUUUGUAUGUCCAUCAGGAUAGAAUGCAUCAAGCUAUUUUAAGCAAGUGCAUCACCAGUGGGUUUUUGCAAAGUCUGCAGUCCUCUGAUGAAUUAAAAAUGUAUGCUUGAAUGGAAAUAAUUCUGGUAUACAUCAUAAUUAUUACCUUAAAGGGAAAUUCAUAUAAUCUGAAGAGAGGAGAGUUACUUGCAAGAAUUAUCUGUAUAAAGGAUUUUAAUAGUUCAGUGAGAGUGGUAUCUGCCUUGCAAACGUCUAACUACAGCAUCUCAGGCCAUUUAGCUCUGUUUUCUGUAUAAUCUGUCUGUGGUGCCAAGAUUCAGUCUGUGCUUUCUGACAACCAUAAGCCUCAAAGGCCACUCAUAGUGCAUUAAGAAUGUUUUCUUUUUGACAGACAUCAAAAUGUGACCUUUAAAUGAUUCUUGUUAUCAAGGAAGCUGAACAAGAAAAUCAAUAGAAUGCCGCUGGAGAGGAGGGAUUAAUGCAGGGCAAAUUGAUCAUUCCAUUUCAUUUUCAUCUUGAUUUGAUGUGCCAGCCAUACACACCUAAUCUGACCACAAACUGCUUUUAACACUUCACAGGAGAAUCCUUUGAGCAGAAAAAUACAACAAGCUUCUCAGUUACAAAAAUGAUAGGGCAGGAGCAUGAGCCUUUACUGACAGUUAACCUUAAUAAUAAAUAGCCUGUUUUUUCCUUUUCCUUUCAUCACUUCUCUGUGCUUUUUAUAGUGAGCCUCAGUGCUGUUGCUUCUCUUCACCACAGGGAAUAUGAUGGCAAAGCUCAUUGUCUAUUUCACACAGUUUAUGGGUCCAUCAAACUGCAAAAACAAAUACAUUAAUCAUCAGAACACAUUGAUAGAUCAUUAAUUAUUGUACCUCACUGUUGAUGUCACACGUUGUUGAAUCCUUUCAGGGAUAAUCAGAGCACUUUGGCAGAACUUUAUUAAACAAGCUGUUCAUUUACAAAGCCAUGUCUGGAUGCGCAGGCACCGAGUCAGAGAGAUAAAAGACAAUAUUUUCUUUUAAAGAAUCUUUCAGUAAACAUUAAAAGGAAUAUCUGCCAUAGAAGAAUUGCACUAUUUUCCUGUGCCGCUUCCCGUACACAGCUGAGAUUGGGAGCGCAUUACCGCUGAAAUGCCAGCGCUCGACAGAUAACUGCGAUAACAAAGAUAGCAAAUCUGGGAAAUGAAAAAUGGCACUUCUCUUCUACAAGGAGAUACAUCAGUGUUUAUUAAAUCAAUGCCAGACAGAGGAAUCUGAAGGUAAAAUAAUGAACCACUUAUAAAUGAUCUUUGCUUCGCUGGGCCUUACCUGAUCAGGGUGUUCAGGGACCACCAAUGCGAGGCAUAUUAGGAGAGGUCUAUUAAUCCUAGUGCUUCUCAUAGCUGACUAUAAAAUGCAUGAGUCCUCUGUGACUUACUAGGCACAUCCUUUUUAAUUUUUCAAUGUAAAAAAAAAAAGUCAGCCACACAGCUCUCAUUGAUUGGGUGUGAAAGUUUGGGUUGUCUGUGUAUUUCUGCUGUAACAGUGUGGAUAUUUCAUUAUGGUGCUCUGGGACACACAUUACGCAGCUCUGCUACCUUUCUCACGGCAUCCAUGGCAACUAGGGAGGCUGCUCUCCGCACAGAAAUGUGCUUUUAAUUGAGUGACAUCUAAUCAGGCAGUGAAAUACAGCAGUAGAGUUAACAAAACAGGUCAACGAGGGACAAAGACUACCAGCUGCAAUCGCGGUCACACUACAGCGUGUAGUUGUGGUGUUGACCAGCCCAUAUUAGUCUGGUUUUAAUGAACAAAAUUACAGGGUUGGAGGUAUUCCUACAAGACACUUGGGUGAAUGUGUGAUUGGAUAAGAUGAGCCCUUCUUAAGACUACACAAGCUUGGGGAGGAGGCAUGUCUUUGAUGUGCUGAAAUUACUGGAGCUGAGAGGUCUCACAAGCUAUGCCUUAACACAUAUUAAACAGGCUCGAAAGGAAAUUUUUCACCGUCAUCUAUUUUUUUUAGCUUGUUGCAUGGUGUGCCAGCCUUGGCUGUCUGCUAUUUUCCUCCUCAAACAUGGCUUGUGGUUUUAACUGAAAUAGCAUUUCUUCCUCAUUAUCAGAUGUUGAAUCAGUGCACAGGGGGACACCAUCAAUUCCCCUCUACCUAAAAUCAUCUGUGCUGACAGCACUCCGUAGUGACAUACAUAGAUAGAGGGGGUAAAGGCAUAGUCUCAGUAAAUCUUCUGCCUGCGCUUUGGGGAAUCAUUGCAAUUCAUGAUCUUUUCUCAGUAUGCUAACAAUAAUCUUCUGCUCGCUCUGUCUCGCACAUCACCAGGCAUAGCAAACACUUGUCUUCACUGAGUCACAGGAAGCAUCAGCUUCUCCUCACCAUGCAAAUUUCAGGGCUGUGUCGCUCUUUGUAUUACAACUAUGUCCUCAACCUUUUCUACUCACUAACUUUCAUACAGCUGGUUGAUGAAUUCAGUACUCAUACGUGGCAAGCUGGACACAUACCUUCAUUCUGAUAGAGGCUUUUACUUUGAUACAACCUUGAUCCACAAGCAACUGCAAAAAUGGACAUUUGCCUCUCUUACUAUAGAUUACAAUAAUUCUCUAAGACACAUUUUAAGGCUCUCUAAAUGUCUUUACUAAACAAAUGCCCCACUCCAGGAGCAACUCUGCCCUCACUAUGAGAAAAAGUACAAGAUGCUUUUGUUAAGCAGGGUAUAACAAAUGUUUCUGCGGUAAAUUCUGCUGGAUAAAUAAAAUGCAACCCAAGUAAAAUUUGUCCGUGUUUGUAUAUUCCACUAUGUGCAGAACUGCAAAGUGAGCUCUUAAUUGGACGCACGUUAGAUGGAUCUUAGUAAGGGUGGAGAGUCAGCCUUUAGGUCACGCUUUACUAGCAACUGAACUGUUAUCAUAUGAAUUUGAUCUCAUCACAGCAGUGCACCUUAAAGGAGGAUGUGCUUCUUGUUAUUGCUGUUGGUGGUUUGUUCCAUGUAUCUUUAACUGGCCAGCUCAUCUGUUAUUAAAAUUGUUGAAAUAAGGACAACUUUCUUUGGUAGGAGGUUUUAGCAUAUGUUCUACAUAUUGAUGUCAUAUGUUUUAUGUAUUUCAUUAUGUUUUAUGUAUCUUGCGUUUGAGCCUGUGUGCAUUCUAAUUUCCCUUUGGGCACAGUAAAGUUGAAGUUGGAGCUGAAGUUAACAUUGAGACAACAGAUGGUUCUGAUAUACUUUAUUUGCACCACACCACUAAAAGACAUGCUCAAUGUGUAUCAGUGAAGAAAUAAUAAUAUCACCAUACGCUCAGGUCCAUAAAUUAAUUACUGAAGUUUUAACUGCUUUUACUUUAACAGCUUGUCAUUGUGGUUUGUUUCACACAUGCCAAACAUUAACUACAUUUAGGUGCUAACUUACAGAACAUGUAAACAACAAAGACUUGGUUGAAACAUGAAUAGUAAAACUACAAAGCUGGUGCGCAAUUUAUUCUGCAUCUUCAUAUUUCUUCAUUAACAUUAGGACAAUAAUCUGGUGACGAGUUUGUGAUUGCAAUCACAUUUUAAAAGGCGGUGUGUCUUAUCAUACUCAUCGUAUUAUAGAACCAUUUCAUCUGCCUCACCUCCAGCGUGAAGCUUUGAUGGUGUCAAGUGGGAGACGACAACCAAUUAAAAGAAAAUCAGUCAAACAACUGGGGGUCAGAUCUCAAGAUGCUCCCAAUCACUCAUAAUUUCCUGUUGUUAUGCGGCAUUUCCACUGCUCCUGAUUGGAGUCUGAUAAGUCAGUGCACAAUGGUCAGUACAUCUGUAUAUGGAACUGUAUCUUAUUAAAAAUAAACUUUUACUACAAUUAAAUGUCUUCUUCACCAACAAAACACUAUAAACUAUACUAUGUAUCCAUUCAUUACAUUAUUUUUGAAUAAAAGCAGGUGGCUGUCAUAACUUGACCAUGUCACUUUAAACAAACAAGGGCAUAGGUAAGAAGAGGUAUAGCACCUUUAAUCACACUUGAGCCCACAACAUUGCACAGGGUGGUAGCGCUCUACUUGUUUUUAAGAAUGCAAAGGCUGGGAGAUGAUAGGAAUGGCAUGCGUGGGGUCUGGCAGGCCAAGGCAGUAGUCCUGAUAGUGUUUCUGUGCACGUCCUCCUCUGUUAGUCAUUACUGUGUGCAGACGAGGGGUGAUGUUUACUCUGCUGAGACAAGCAAGUCUACUGCUCUGGGUUGCAACCUUGUGACUUCCUUCUCCCUCCUGCUGCCAGCUCUCCUAACGUCUAGCCCUGGCCCUGCCACUCCAUGGGCUCACUGGCCUAUUGCUACAGUUAAAUGCCUACCGUCUACCAGAACCAGUUUUUGGGAAUAAAUCUGGCAAAAAUGGAUGAUGCAUUUCUGUGUGUAUUGUCUGCCUGGUGGGUGUUGGGCUGAUAUUUCAGGAAAUAAUAGCAUAAUACACACAAGGGAUGUAAUACUGCAAUACAUUGCUGUGCCAUAUUUCCUCCCUCCGUCUUAAGUUUCCUUGUGUUGUCACUUUCAAACAUUACCUCCACCCACACACAUACGAGAAAAAGAGAGAGGAAGAGAGAAAUGGUGACAGAGACUUACUGCAGUACACAAUGUAUGAAAUAGGAAGUUGUAAUCCUUGGUAAUACAUAGAAAAAGAAAAUCAAUGAAAAUAUGGUUGGAUGAUUUAUCAUAUAAAGAUGAUGAAAAGAAAUGAAAGAAUAUAAAGAAGAAAUUAAAGAUGUUAGCAAACACAAUUGACAAUUUAUUUGUGUGACGCUAAUGGCUCAAGGACAGUGGAAGUAACAGAGCACAGAGGGAGACAAGAGUGAAAUAAAACAGGACACAAAUAAAUUAAGAAAAUGCAACAGUUAUAAUGUUACAAAUUGAAACAAUUAUAAGAGUUGACAAAACAGAAGGGAAAUAAGACGAGGAGACAGAAGCAAGUUGAACAAAACAGUUGUGAUACAUAAUGGCAAUGAUUAUGAUAGAUAAUGGCAAAAGGGUAAAAUCAAUCAUAAUGCACCAAAUAAAAAAUGAAAUGAUUACCAAGCUUAUGCAGGAGGUCAGGGGUCAGAGGUCAAGUUCAAUAUAAACACGGAAACCAUUAUGGCGUCUGCAUGGAUGUCUCUGGAAGAAAUA